ACGAAAUAAAUGCAUGUGAAAGAUAUAAUAAACAAUUUUUGAAACCAUUGUUAAGAUUACUCAAAAAACUGAUGCUGCUCUCAUUGAUCCAGAAAGAAAAUGAUUGCGAUUCUCAGAUAUUUGAGAUUCUCCUAUAUGGCUCGUAGUGACAUGAAGUUUGCCACCAUAUCUUUAUAAAGCAUUGGAAAAUGCUAAAGAUAUUAUUGAUAUACUAAAAAGAGUCAUUUGUAGAUAAAAUGCUUCAGCGCUUGCAAAUUUCAAGCGAGAAUUAUUACUUCAUAGAGAAGAGAAAAUAUCUUUUGAGCAAACUAAAUGGUAAUCAGAGGGAAGAUGAGAAUAUAGAAGAUUCAGGAUUUAUUAGCAAUGAUGAUUCUCUUGAGCCAGAGAAAAGACAAUCUGAGACAAACGAAGAUAAUAGAUUCUUGAAAAGUGAUGAAAACAAUGCUUUACAGGAUGGAUUACAUGACUGAUCAGCCGACAUUUGCAAAAAUACGUGGCUAUUUUAGUCUGAUUGAUAUUAUGCACCAAUUAUAGUUGUUGAUGUUUUUGCUUUUAUAGAGGGUUUAUAAAAAAAAUAUAAGACUUAAUAUAUUCUCACUAGUAGCUGAGAAGAUUGGUAGUUAAUUUGAUGAUAUAGCCUUAUUUUUAUCAUAAAAUAUUAUUUGCAUACAUAUUUAAUUUAUAUAUAGAUAAAAAGCGUACAAUAAUAAUGAAUUUGUUGAAUUGUUAUCCAGAGGAAAGCGAAAAUGGGAGGGAAUUUUUUCCAUUCAUAAGUAAUUUCAUUCUUUUAUUCAAUCUGAGACAGAUGAUGUAAAGUAUCUUGUUAUAUAUACUAAUACAGGCUUAUAUCUUGUGGAAGAAAAGAAAUUAAGUAGAUCGAAAUGGAACUUAGAAUUCUCCCCUCUUAAAGUUGAUAGAAUAAAUAUUGAGGAAGAAAAAUAUAACAUUGUGAAAAACUGUUUAUAUACUAGGUGAUAGCACAAAGGAACAUUCUUUUUAUCAAUUUUCUCGGGAAAAACAACAAGAAAAGACUUUUAAAGCUAUUAGAUACCCUACCUUUUCUCUAG
rnacentral:lncRNA from 1 species